AAAGUGGCAUCAGUUUUGACAACAUACAUACCCUUUUUAGCAAUAUGUGUAAUAUACGAUCGCAUUAUUUUAGAAAAGUGAAAAGCAGAUUAAAUUCGUAUCGUUUACUAAUAAUCAUAUGCUUGUAAAAUAUAUUCUAAUCUUAUUACUGUUUAAAUACAAAGCGUUACCGCAGUUUUCAUAAUUUGAACGUUUCAGUUUUUAUUUUGGGUACAAAUAUUUGUCCGAUGUGAUGCUGUGUUACCAAAACUGUGAGAAACAUCGGGCAAUCAAGGUUAUUGCUUCUUUAUUUGAAUGGAAAUUAUCUUUUUCUUAUUUGCUCAUUUGAUUCUUAAAGUUUCAAGACGAAAUCCGAAUAAAGACCAAUAAAACUUAGGUUUACAGAUGAAAGAGGGAAAUUGGAUCAUAUCAAACAGUUCUGUCGACCUGUCUUAAGUUUGAAGUUAAUUCUUUCAUUUUUCAAAAAUGAACAGAAGAAUAUCCAGAAAAAUGGAACAAAGUUCUGUCGAGCUUUCUAUGAGUAACGGAAUCAUCAACAGUCAGUCAAACUGGUCUCGAUGUAAUUCCUUCUCCUCUUCUUCGAGCGACUCAACCCUGUAUUGCUCAAAUUCGUCUCAACACUCAAGUUUCUCUGGUCGCAAGCGACUUAGAAAAGACGAGUCUAUUGGCAAGAUGGUGAAAAGAUGUCGCAACUCUUCUGGCUCUUCUGCGUCUAGUAAUGUGUCUUGCAUGAGUGAUAAAGAUAUAAAUCCUCCCGCUCAGGUGUCACACGAAAUCAAUUCUAUUGAAACUUUAGAUGAUAUGUCACCUUCGACUUUUCAACACGAAGCAUUACUGAGUAGUAGACUCUCGCAUCCUUUGGACAUGAAUGCUGUGUUGCCCUUCCGGCACAAUCUGCGACGCAACAUACGCAGAAAAGCAUGCAGCUGUGAUUGCACUGCCACCUGCACAACUGUUGUGGUUAGUAGACAAUAUAAUGAAAUAGGUGAACAAACGGUUGAAGAAAAGACAGUUAUAUCUCGCACUAAGGUGAAAACUUUCGUUGAUAGCAAUAAUGCUCAAACACCCAUCAGGCAAGUCCAAAUGUCGAAGGUAUCCUUUCAAGAGAACGUGGCUCGUGAAAACGAAUGUUCAUUUCAAGAGAACAUGGCUCACGAAAAGGAAUGUUCAUUUCAAGAGGACAUGGCUCAUGGAAACGAAUGUUCUUUUCAAGAAAACAUGGCUCAUAAAAACGAAUGCAAUAGGAGACGUCGUCCUGAAAUUGAAAGAUUGUAUGAAUCUUUGCAUGAAAUUAAAUGGGCUAAAAACUUUUCUCCGGAUAAUAUCUUGAGACAGCUCGAUGUAAGGCAAGCUGCUUCGUGUUCCGCUUUUGGCAAAGUAUCUGGGGAAAAGCCUGCCAAGAUGAAUAAAAGUUCCACAGCCAGUGGCCAAAUUUAUACAAAACUGCCAAGUGAAUCUCCUGGCAAGUCUAAUUUUAAAAGGUGCAAUAAGUCGUAUCUGACGCGAUCAAAGAUUCAUUCCUUGCUGAAUUUUGAAGAUAAACUGGAAGAGGAAGAUUCAAAUCCACCAGUGCUCGAAAAGAGUAUUAUUAUAACAGCCGAUGAGACGUUAGAUAUUGAUUUUCCUAAUUAUAAUACGUUUCCAGUUCUUUCCAAAGAGGUUUUGACUCCUGAAAAAGAUACUAACAAUAUAGUAGAUUUAUCCUCUACUUGCAAUGCAAUACAAACUGAAGUGUUAAAUUUCGAUGUAAAUUUGCAUAGCGAUGUCGACAACCAUAUUAGUGAAAUUGUCGAUUGUUCAUCAACGUUUUUUGACGUUGCAGAUACUAUUGACCCAUGUGUUGAAGAAGUGGGUGCCGAAGUAAUCGUCUCUACUUCCUGUGAUAAUGACUCUAAGAAUUUGCCUUUGUUGACAGCGGUAAAAGAGAUCCACUCCUCAAAUGCCCCGCUGGAAUGUCCUCCCGUGUUAGAACAGUGCGAAUCAUCGUUUAGUUCUGUUAAAGACAGUUCAACGACAGCCGACACAUCAAACGUCAAAAGUGAUGAAUCGUUUAAAGAUUUUUUCCCUCCCGUGAAUUCCCAUUUCAUUUGUGACGAAGAUUAUUCCCUGUCAUCAUCUUUGCUUGAAGACUGUAAAAGGAACUAUUCCGACGAUAAUGGAAACCUUGAAAAAAUCUUAACUCUUGAUGACAAUUUUGAAACUCUCGAGGUUGGAGUCGAAAAGAGUAAUGACAUUCAGAGCUUCUGCGAUAUCGAUAAAGUCGACGAUGAUUCGGAAGCCGAUCUACAAUUAGUCCCCGCUGAUGAAACGAAGAAUGCUAUCAGCAAGCCUCCUGUUUUAGAACAAUGUAUACCAAAUAAUGUGUGCUAUGUAAAUAUUAAAUCUGAAAUAUGCAUCACUGAAAAUAUUAAAAGGAAAGAUAUCGAUGAGAAUGCAAAGGAUUCUUCGGGUGAUCGAGCAAACUUACUAAUUCAUAGAACAAAAAACUUUUCAACGAAAUCUGAAAAAUUGUGUAAAUCCGUAAAAAGUAGCCUUAAAUCUGAAUCAUACAUCAUCUUUUUGGGAAGACGUAUUUUAAGAAAGUACAUGAAAAUAAUCAACUCAAAAGCUAAAAUGCGAUGGAAAAUUCCUAAAAUGUGCAAUAAGCAGUUAAAGAGUUCUGCCAAUAGCCUUAAAGCCUCACCCAUUUCUAGUAGUGUCUGCAAUAUGGAAAAUAUGUUAACGCACGACGGUUCAUUGGCCAUCAACUGUGCACAAAUGCCUCUCUCCGUAGGGUCGCCUAUUUUUUCUUGUUCAUCCCCUUCACGAAUAACUGAAACUCACUCUGUGAAUAAAAAGUGCAUAUCAUCUAGUGAAUCUACAGCCACUGUUGUAAACCCAAACUGCGCAACUGUGAUACAAAGUUUCAAUCAAAAACUUUCCUUUUCGACAUCAAGAGAAAAUAUAACCCUAAACCAAAUAAAGAAUUCAUCUAAAACGGAUAAAAAACUGUGCUUAAAUAAUAAUAGACAAACAAAGAAGCCCAACAACAUCUUCAAAAAUCAUUAUUCAGAAAAUUAUGCUGAUAUUCCUGGUUAUUCAAAAAUCCUGUUGGCAGCUAAGAAAAAGGAAGGACGUGCUGAGGAAAAAGUAAAAGUUCCUCCCCGAGUGUUCACCUGUCAUUUUCAAACCAUAAAUGUUACCCGUGAUAAUGAUUACAUCCAGAUUGUUUUGAAAAUCACCAGAGGGAAAUCUAUAUUCCUCACUCAUGAGGCUAUUCAACCAAAUCACUAGUGGUCAAGCUUCAAUAUACUGGAAAUUAACAACAGUAAGAUCUAUUAUUAUUUUAAGAAUAACUAUUACACUGUGAAGAAACAUGUAGACUUUAGUUGAGUUGAAGGAAGCCAUAAAUAAAGCUGGUAAUGACAAAGAUUGUAGGCUAUUAAUUUUAAAUGGAUUUGGGCAAACAUUUUGCCUUGGGCUAGACGUAAGACCUCUUGUGGAAGAUCAUAAAAA
rnacentral:misc_RNA from 1 species